rnacentral:lncRNA from 12 species
AUGAGCAGCUUGGCAACACAGAAAUUUAGACUCACAUUUCUAUCUAUAAAUCACCAGUUUGUCCUUUAUGUUGACAGUUUCUGUGCAAAAUUGAAGGAUUUCAAAGUGUUCCAGCAACAAAACGUAAGAAAUUGCAGGACACAUAAAUUUCAAGCAUUUUCUACCUACAUCAGCAACAUCGUUUUAGCAAAAUACAGACCGGGUAUUCAAGUGCCAAGGCAGAAAAAAGCUCCUGUGGUGAUGUUUGGCUUUGAUGACCUGGAUGACCUUGAAGCCAUACUGAGUGUCAAUGUCAGUUCAGCAACUACUGCUGACCAUGCAGAGAAGCCACUGCUGCUGGCACGGAGGAUGGUAGCUCUUGCAGCACUGAGCGGUUUCUCAUCAUGUUGACUGCCCAAGCUCAGGACUUAGACAGCUAAAGCUCCUCGGUUCACUGGCUGGGUGACCUUGGAUAAAUACUUAUUCUCUUUGGUAGAGUUUACUGGCUUCUUCCCACUUUUGACAGAACUCUUCACCAGUGGAAUUCACAGCACUGUGCUCAGCAAAACCAUGACCUUCAACCAACUCCCAGGCAACUGAUUGUGGCUGUCGGGCAACGUGGGCCAUGAUAGAAAUAAUGUUUGGGACUUUGCGGCAAGGCUAACUGAAGGGAAAGAGCUGAGUGCCCUCAAUCUCUGCUUUAUUUCUUCCUGAUGCCCGGAAAUGCAAAUUUCCGGCCAAAAGCUCCAGCUUUGAGGCCAAAGCUCCAGCAGCCAUCUUGGCUCCAAGGUGGAUUUUUGGAACAGAUAUCACUUACAGAAGAUUGCAAAGCAGAAAGCGAGAAGCAGAAAGAAAGAAACCCAUGACAUGCCCUGGACACCGUAUCUUCAGACGUCAUCUAGCUGGAAAAAAAUCAACUGCAAAUUUGUAUAAGUUAUUGUCAUUUCGAUCUUUCCUAUAAUAUGCAGCCAAACCUAAUCCUGAUCAUGUAUCUAGGAAAGGAGAGCAGUAGCAGUACCUAAAGCCUACAGUUAUUGUAAGGUUAGAUGAUGAAAUAAUGCAGGUGACAAAUUUUUAUUUGUUUAAUAAAAGAUACCAUCACUAAAUAAAAG